CGAGUCCCUGGUGGUCACGGCCUGGGUUUCGAAGGAGGCUUCCUCUGGAAACAGGCACAGGGUAUCAUAACCUGAAGCUGCCACUUCUCUUCCACGUGAAGCUUCAUCACUGCCUUCUUGGCGAUGAGAGUCUCCAGCAGCUUCUGCACGUCAGGGUGGAUGAAUGUGCACUCACCUGCCUCCGUCUGCUGGGGUGUGGGGUCUCCCCAGAAGGAAGGCUCUGGGGGGUGGUCGGGAAGAUGCCGCUGCUGGAAUUUGCCAUGUGAGCAGGUGGAGAGGCCCCACGUGGUGGCAGCCUCCUUCCACCAGGAGAGAUCCCCGGUGGGCUCGCUGGAGCACCCAAGGCCAGAGAUCACCGUGGUUGGAGCCGGCGGCCGCUGCUGUCCUCACUGUCUGGGUUUUGGAACAUGUGCGCACCAUAAACCAGGAGUGGCUUGGGAUGAUCCGAGGUCCAGUUCCUAG
rnacentral:lncRNA from 13 species